rnacentral:rRNA from 1 species
GAUGAACGCUGGCGGCGUGCCUAACACAUGCAAGUCGAGCGAACAGACGAGGAGCCUUGUCCCCUGACGUUAGCGGCGGACGGGUGCGUAAAAUGUGGGUAAACUAACUAUAUGAAUGGGAUUAAUUCGGGAAACCGGUGCUAAUAACGGAUAAUAUAUUGAACCGCAUGGUUCAAUAGUGUAAGACGCUUUUGCUUUCGCUUAUAGCUGGAUCCGCGCCCAAUUAGCUUGUUGGUAAGGUAACGGAUUACCAAGGCGACGAUUCGUAGCCGACCUGAGAGGGUGAACCGCCACACUGGAACGGAGACACGGUCCAGACUCCUACGGGAGGCAGCAGUAGGGACUCUUCCGCAAUGGGCGAAAGCCUGAUGGAGCAACGCCGCGUGAAUGAAGAAGGUCUUCGGAUGGUAAAGCACUGUUAGUAGGGAGGAAGAAAGGAGUGUUUACCUAUGAACUUAUUGACGGUACCUGAAGAAGAAGCCACGGCUAACUACGUG